UGGAUCCAGACUUUGAUUAUGGCUCAGGAUAAACGCUGGCGGCGCACAUAAGACAUGCAAGUCGAACGGACUUAAUCAGUUUGUUUACAAAUUGAAGCGGUUAGUGGCGGACUGGUGAGUAACACGUAAGCAACCUGCCUAUUAGAGGGGAAUAACAGUGAGAAAUCACUGCUAAUACCGCAUAUGCCAUAAUCACCACAUGGUGGAAGUGGGAAAGGAGAAAUCCGCUAAUAGAUGGGCUUGCGUCUGAUUAGCUAGUUGGUGGGGUAACGGCCUACCAAGGCAGCGAUCAGUAGCCGGACUGAGAGGUUGAACGGCCACAUUGGGACUGAGAUACGGCCCAGACUCCUACGGGAGGCAGCAGUCGGGAAUAUUGCGCAAUGGAGGAAACUCUGACGCAGUGACGCCGCGUAUAGGAAGAAGGUUUUCGGAUUGUAAACUAUUGUCGUUAGGGAAGAAAAAAGACAGUACCUAAGGAGGAAGCUCCGGCUAACUACGUGCCAGCAGCCGCGGUAAUACGUAGGGAGCAUGCGUUAUCCGGAUUUAUUGGGUGUAAAGGGUGCGUAGACGGGAAUUUAAGUUAGUUGUGAAAUCCCUCGGCUUAACUGAGGAACUGCAACUAAAACUGGAUUUCUUGAGUGCAGGAGAGGAAAGCGGAAUUCUUAGUGUAGCGGUGAAAUGCGUAGAUAUUAGGAGGAACACCAGUGGCGAAGGCGGCUUUCUGGACUGUAACUGACGUUGAGGCACGAAAGUGUGGGGAGCAAACAGGAUUAGAUACCCUGGUAGUCCACACUGUAAACGAUGGAUACUAGGUGUAGGGUGUAUUAAGCACUCUGUGCCGUCGCAAACGCAAUAAGUAUCCCACCUGGGGAGUACGGCCGCAAGGUUGCAACUCAAAUGAAUUGACGGA
rnacentral:rRNA from 1 species